rnacentral:rRNA from 1 species
CACGUAGUUAGCCGGAGCUUCUUCUGCAGGUACCGUCGUUAUCUUCCCUGCUGAAAGCGGUUUACAACCCGAAGGCCUUCGUCCCGCACGCGGCGUUGCUGCGUCAGGCUUUCGCCCAUUGCGCAAAAUUCCCCACUGCUGCCUCCCGUAGGAGUCUGGGCCGUAUCUCAGUCCCAAUGUGGCCGGUCGACCUCUCAGUCCGGCUACCCAUCGCGGGCUAGGUGGGCCGUUACCCCGCCUACUACCUAAUGGGCCGCGACCCCAUCCCGCGCCGUCGGGGCUUUCCCGGCCGCCCCAUGCGGGGCGCCCGGAGUAUCCGGUAUUAGCCAUCGUUUCCAAUGGUUAUCCCGGAGCGCGGGGCAGGUUGGUCACGUGUUACUCACCCGUUCGCCACUCUAUACACGGCCGAAGCCGUCUUAAUCGUUCGACUUGCAUGUGUUAAGCACGCCGCCAGCGUUCAUCCUGAGCCAGGAUCAAACUCU